rnacentral:rRNA from 1 species
CCGGUGAAUACGUUCCCGGACCUUGCACACACCGCCCGUCAAGCCAUGGAAGCUGGGUGUACCUAAAGUCGGUAACCGUAAGGAGCCGCCUAGGGUAAAACUAGUGACUGGGGCU